rnacentral:rRNA from 1 species
GAUGAACGCUGGCGGCGUGCCUAAUACAUGCAAGUCGAGCGAACAGACGAGGAGCUUGCUCCUCUGACGUUAGCGGCGGACGGGUGAGUAACACGUGGAUAACCUACCUUUAAGACUGGGAUAACUUCGGGAAACCGGAGCUAAUACCGGAUAACAUGUUGAACCGCAUGGUUCAACAGUGAAAGACGGUUUUGCUGUCACUUAUAGAUGGAUCCGCGUCGCAUUAGCUAGUUGGUAAGGUAACGGCUUACCAAGGCAACGAUGCGUAGCCGACCUGAGAGGGUGAUCGGCCACACUGGAACUGAGACACGGUCCAGACUCCUACGGGAGGCAGCAGUAGGGAAUCUUCCGCAAUGGGCGAAAGCCUGACGGAGCAACGCCGCGUGAGUGAAGAAGGUCUUCGGAUCGUAAAACUCUGUUAUUCGGGAAGAACAAAUGUGUAAGUAACUAUGCACGUCUUGACGGUACCUAAUCAGAAAGCCACGGCUAACUACGUG